rnacentral:rRNA from 1 species
UCGAGAAUUUUUCACAAUGGGCGCAAGCCUGAUGGAGCGACGCCGCGUGGGGGAUGAGGGGUUUCGAUCCGUAAACCCCUGUCAUUUGCGAACAAACCUUGAUUGUGAAUAGCGAUCGAGCUGAUUGUAGCGGAAGAGGAAGGGACGGCUAACUCUGUGCCAGCAGCCGCGGUAAUACAGAGGUCCCAAGCGUUGUUCGGAUUCACUGGGCGUAAAGGGUGCGUAGGUGGUCGGUGGUGUUCGGUGUGAAAGCUCGGAGCUCAACUCCGAAACGGCAUUGAAAACUCAUCGGCUGGAGGGUCGGAGGGGAGACUGGAAUUCUCGGUGUAGCAGUGAAAUGCGUAGAUAUCGAGAGGAACACCAGUGGCGAAGGCGAGUCUCUGGACGACUCCUGACACUGAGGCACGAAAGCCAGGGGAGCAAACAG